rnacentral:rRNA from 1 species
AGAAUGAACGUUGGCGGCGUGGAUUAGGCAUGCAAGUCGAACGGGUCCGGUCUUCGGAUCGGGCCAGUGGCGCAAGGGUGAGUAAGGCGACGGUAACCAACCCCAUGGUUGGGCAUAGCCGCGGGAAACUGCGGGUAAUUCCCAGCGAUGUUCGCGGGGGGCAUCCCCUGCUAACCAAAGCUCAGGCGCCGUGGGACGGACCGUCGUGGUAUUAGGUAGUUGGCGGGGUAAUGGCCCACCAAGCCUAUGAUGCCUACCGGGCGUGCGAGCGCGGCCCGGCACACUGGGACUGAGACACUGCCCCAGACCUCCUACGGGAGGCUGCAGUCGAGAAUCUUCGGCAAUGGGCGCAAGCCUGACCGAGCGACGCCGCGUGGAGGAUGAAGGCCUUCGGGUUGUAAACUCCUGUCGGAGGGGAGGAAGGGGUAACCUUGACCUAUCCCUGGAGGAAGCGACGGGCUAAGUUCGCGCCAGCAGCCGC